AGUCCAAUACAAUCCUCCUCUUCUUCUCUCUUAUGAGAUAUUCUUUUACCAUAGUGCAAGUAAUUUCUUUUAAUAUCAUAUAAAUAUUAAAGUCCCAAUGAGAACUAUCUAAUACUAGUGUGAAUCUCCAGGUAAAUAAACUAUUGUAUCUUAAAAAAAAAAAAAAAAAAAUAGAAAUUCUUAAUGUAAUAACUACAGCCUCAGUGGAUCAAUCUUCUAUUAUAUGGAUCAUCCGUGGAGAUAGUAAUAUCUACUUAAUACAUAAGUGAAUCUAAACUAAACGUCAAGCAGGAUUCAACACGGAUUCUAACUCCUUAGGAAUAAAUUCAAUCUGGACUGUGUUAUACUACAACACAUAUGAAGACUUAACACUACCUUUCGACAAUCAGGAGUUUGUAGAAUCGAAAUUCCUAUUGAGACAAUAUCGACAAGGAGUCUAACAAACUCUUCAAUGUGUAUCGUAUGAACAAUGUUAACAAUAUCCAAUUGAAUUACAACCACAAGAUCUGCUGUUCGAAGCUAUAGUAUUAAUAUUGAUUAGACUCUCUGAUGGUUAUAUGGGUUUAUUAAAUAGUGAAUAUUGUUAUUAACAACAUCAAGUUGUAUGAUAUGGAAUUUAAAUUGUAUUGAAUUAAUGUAUUGUGUUGUUGAUGUCUUAUGAAUUCUUAUUUUUAUACGAAUAAUGAUAAUAUGCUUACAUGUAUUCUGUAUAAUAAUAACUUGACUUUCAGCACUCAA
rnacentral:lncRNA from 1 species